rnacentral:rRNA from 1 species
ACGGAAGGCAGCAGUGGGGAAUAUUGGACAAUGGGCGCAAGCCUGAUCCAGCGACGCCGCGUGAGGGAAGAAGGUUUUCGGAUUGUAAACCUCUGUUUUCAGUGAAGAAACAAAUGACGGUAGCUGAAGAGGAAGCCACGGCUAACUACGUGCCAGCAGCCGCGGUAAUACGUAGGUGGCAAGCGUUGUCCGGAUUUACUGGGUGUAAAGGGUGCGCAGGCGGGACUGCAAGUUGGAUGUGAAAUACCGGGGCUUAACCCCGGAACUGCAUCCAAAACUGUAGUUCUUGAGUGGAGUAGAGGUAAGCGGAAUUCCGAGUGUAGCGGUGAAAUGCGUAGAUAUUCGGAGGAACACCAGUGGCGAAGGCGGCUUACUGGGCUCUAACUGACGCUGAGGCACGAAAGUGUGGGUAGCAAACAGGAUUAGAUACCCUGGUA